UCUCAGGGAAGAAAAAAAUGACGGUACUUGAGGAAUAAGCAUCGGCUAACUCCGUGCCAGCAGCCGCGGUAAUACGGAGGAUGCAAGCGUUAUCCGGAAUGAUUGGGCGUAAAGGGUCCGCAGGUGGCUAUGUAAGUCUGCUGUUAAAGAACCUAGCUUAACUAGGUAAAAGCAGUGGAAACUACAAGGCUAGAGUGCGUUCGGGGUAGAGGGAAUUCCUGGUGUAGCGGUGAAAUGCGUAGAUAUCAGGAAGAACACCAGUGGCGAAGGCGCUCUACUAGGCCGCAACUGACACUGAGGGACGAAAGCUAGGGGAGCGAAUGGGAUUAGAUACCCCAGUAGUCCUAGCCGUAAACGAUGGAUACUAGGCGUGGCUUGUAUCGACCCAAGCCGUGCCGGAGCUAACGCGUUAAGUAUCCCGCCUGGGGAGUACGCACGCAAGUGUGAAACUCAAAGGAAUUGACGGGGGCCCGCACAAGCGGUGGAGUAUGUGGUUUAAUUCGAUGCAACGCGAAGAACCUUACCAAGACUUGACAUGUCGCGAAUCUCUCUGAAAGGAGAGAGUGCCUUCGGGAGCGCGAACACAGGUGGUGCAUGGCUGUCGUCAGCUCGUGUCGUGAGAUGUUGGGUUAAGUCCCGCAACGAGCGCAACCCUCGUUUUUAGUUGCCAGCAUUAAGUUGGGCACUCUAGAGAGACUGCCGGUGACAAACCGGAGGAAGGUGGGGAUGACGUCAAGUCAGCAUGCCCCUUACGUCUUGGGCUACACACGUACUACAAUGCUACGGACAAAGGGCAGCUACACAGCAAUGUGAUGCAAAUCUCACAAAACCGUAGCUCAGUUCAGAUCGCAGGCUGCAACUCGCCUGCGUGAAGUCGGAAUCGCUAGUAAUUGCAGGUC
rnacentral:rRNA from 1 species